rnacentral:rRNA from 1 species
UACGAAGGGGGCUAGCGUUGCUCGGAAUCACUGGGCGUAAAGGGUGCGUAGGCGGGUCUUUUAAGUCAGGGGUGAAAUCCUGGAGCUCAACUCCAGAACUGCCUUUGAUACUGGAGAGCUUGAGUCCGGAAGAGGUGAGUGGAACUCCGAGUGUAGAGGUGAAAUUCGUAGAUAUUCGGAAGAACACCAGUGGCGAAGGCGGCUCACUGGUCCGGUACUGACGCUGAGGUGCGAAAGCGUGGGGAGCAAACAGG